UAUUGCAAGUCAUCUUCCACUUCUCUUUAAGGCUAUUCCGAUCUUGGAAGCUAAGCAAGAUGGUGCCUGGUUAGUAGUUGGAUGGGAGACCGCGGGGAAUACAAUGUGGGUCUGUAGUGC
rnacentral:rRNA from 1 species